ACGAAUGUUGAAGCUGACACAGUGAUAUAAUCAUGGUGCAGCAGCAAAGAUUUGUUUGGGUUAACUUUUUUGCAGUCUCCUUACUGGUAGUGGAAGAGGCUGCACUGGUGGCACUAGAGACUGGAGUCGCCUGUUUAUCCAAAUUGCACAUCGGUAACUGUAGAAUCUCUCCCCACACUGUCCCACCAAUGUGCCUUCACUAUCACUUGCAGGAACAACUUCUGGAAACAAGAGGGGUGUUCCUGUUUUCCUGCUCAUGCAAUUGUUAGUCUCCUUGCUCAGGCUGCUAGCAAGGGUUACAGUCUCAACUGUGGUGGUCUUGUGAUGUGGCAGCAACCCUAGGAACUGGACUAAGCCACCAAACUCAUUUCAGAUCAGUAUCAGAUGGUAACGGACAGUAAAUACCUCCCUAAACCACAUAGAAAGUUGUGAGGUAGCAGUAAAAGACUUCCCAUUACCAGUCCCUUGCACCAUCCGGACCCAAGAUGUACCAAAGACUUGUGCAUAACAUUCUUAACUGACUUAAAUUUCUUUCUUUAAAGUUCAGUCUGAACCAUUCUUUUAGAGUUGGCUAUUGAAGCUCACCCAAGACCCAACCACAAAUGAAAGCUAGUGGACGGGAGGUUUGAAAAAAACAAACCAGUCUCGAAGCAAAGGAAAGCAAGGACUAUAUUUAAAGUUUAGUUCAGUUUGUGGCAUAGUCAGAUGUCUCCUGCUCCCAGGCAGCCAUGUUCAGAAUUGUUAAAGAAAGGCAGCACCCUCCUAGCUGCUAUGUACAUGUACCCUUGAGAGUAGUUCUAAAGCUGGGUGUCAACUACAUAUCUCAUAUCUACAUGUCUCCCUGAGUGGUCUCACAUCUACUAUACACUGAUUUAGUGAGAUGAUGGGACUAAGUCCUGAGAGAGAGUCCUUGGGAGGGUUCUUACCCCUGGUCUACACCGGGGGAAAUGGGAGAGGAUUGAUCUAAGUUAUGCAAUUUCAGCUACGUGAAUAACGUAGCUGAAGUCGACGUACUUAGAUCUACUUACCGCGGUGUCUUCACUGCGUUAAGUCGACAGCUGACGCUCUCCCGACGACUCCGCCUGUGCCUCUUGCCCUGGCGGAAUACCGGAGUCGACAGGAGAGCGCUCAGUGGUCGAUUUAUCGCAUCUAGACUAGACACGAUAAAUCGACCCCCACUGGAUCGAUCACUGCCCGUCGAUCCAGCAGGUAACAUAGACAAGCCCUUAGUAAGGAGCAGCAGCUGUCCUUCAAACUCUGAGAUCUGUGUGAGAGAAAGAGUUAGUGAUGCUAGUGUAACCCACUGCUCCAUGUGUGUUUAUGCAUCCCUCUCUCUACCUGAUCCACAAGGGAUAUGCAUCUCUUGCAGUCUCCACCUGUGGAGCCUGGCACAUUAGUUUAGUUUAAGCUGUAUUGACUUACAUUUUCAGUUCUGGAGGUUCUCUAGUCCAAUUCCUAGUUUGUGUUAGCUAGGCAUGGAAUAAUUUCUGUAUUUCCAAUGUCUGUAUGUGGAGAUGCUGAGAUGCUGACAGUCUUCAUUAAGAUGAAAAUGAGGUAGGAGCUGACCAUGCAGGAAAGCCUAAGAGGAGGAAAGGAUACAGCAGAGGACAAUACAAUAACAUGGUCUCUGGAGAGGCAAAUGCAAUGUUGAGAGAGUAUCAAAGCAGUGGUGAAUGUUUACAAUAUAUUGUAUUUCUUGCUUUUUUCACUGUGUGAAAGAUUGUGGUUUAUAAUUCUCCUGGAAGAUGUAAGAUUAGAAAACAGACAUGGAGGAAAAGGAGGUGGCAUGGUACACAGGGUCAGGAAGGGGAUUCUAGGGAUAUGGGCCAGCAUGAAAGCAGGCACAGAGUUGAGCGUGGGCAAAGGACAUGAAGGGGUUGUAGUAAAGUGAUCAUGACAGGGUGAACUGGGUUAUCCAGAGUAUUAUGGGAUGGAGCCAUGCUCCACCCCAAGUUCGCGUUCUGUGAGAGUUUUCCCCCCAGUCUGUGAUGCAGAUCAUGCGAUUGAAUAAAGCGCCACGUUCCCAGCCGGCUUUUCUGGGAGUAGAUCGUUUGUUUUAGUUCACCUGAGUGGUCCCUUUACGAAACGGGUCAUCCACACAGGCAGCUUGCUCUAAGCAAACCCCUCCAGCAUCCGCUCCAGCUCAUUCCUGUGCUUCAGCAGAAUCUCGUCAUCAACAGCAUGCGAGUGCUGCCAGGAGGAGUAACAGUGCCAGCCUGGAUGGUUGUAACCUUGAGAAGUUAGUUGUCUGUGAGAUCUAUGGCUGAAGUGGAUUGAGGAAGGGUCUCCUGUCCUUUAGUCCUGUUGAAUACCCUUUAAAAUGAGUGACAACAGAUCUUUGCUAGAUGAGCAGGUUAGCUGGCUGUUCCUGAUUUUUUAAAAAAGAAUUUGCUUCAACCUGACUAAAGCCUUUCUGUGCAUCAAUGACACAUUUAUAGGUUAAUGUUUAAAUUGCCAUAAUUAGGCUUCUGUGCUGACACCCUAUUGAGAUGGAUGGGAGCAGUUCACACUGCAGUGCUGUUGUUUUAGGGCUUGAUUACACUAGAGUGUCUUAUUUUGAGUUAUCUGAUUAGCAAUUGAGCCUCCAGGUGGUUAACAGGUUUCUAAAGGCUGGUCUGGAUACUCCUCCCCCGCCCCCUUAAAAAAAAAGAAAAUCAAAACCCCAAAACUUAAUUUUGUUUCAAGGAUGCUGAUGUUUUGUGUUUAUCUUUGGCUUCUCUGCCAAAAAUAAAAUGUUUACAGCUAACUCACUGGAAAAUCCUAGUGGAGACCAGGAACUGUCAGUUUUCCUCAGUAUAGCUAGUCUAGUUCAAUCCCAUCUGUGUGGUAUAGUGCUGACCUUGACCAGGUACAUCAAAGUAAAAGCUAUCUGUUUUACUUCCCAAUAACAAGCUUGAUGUUAAAACACACAUUGUGUUUUUGUUUUCAGUGAUGAUAAAGCCUUGGGUUGUCAGUUAACUUGAAAUAAAAACUUCAGUGUAGAAAAGCCUUCAGGUAUCAAUGCAUCUGUUUCCAUUCCACCGCUUAUCCUCACAACCAGAAAGGUCAGACGUGUUCUUUUUUAAUGAAAGUUUAAAUUGCGUGGUAAGGAGGAGGAAUGCUAAAGAUCUGCAAAAGAACCGAGGGGCUCAGAGAGGAUGCAAAUUCCACAUGUGGAUUUCUGGUGGCUCUGCUUAUUAAAAUCUUGCCCAGAUUCAGCAUUGUACUGGGGGGGAAGUCUUCAAAUAUAGCAGUUCAUCGAUGUACAUAAACCAGAUAGAGUUCCAGCUGCUACAUAAUAUGGUGUGUUCUUGAGCAGAAAGUGCCACCACUUGAAUACAUAAUGCAUAGUAAAGUGGCAGACAUAAAAUAAUAAAUCAUAACACUGGUGCUGCAAAACCAGAGCAUUGUUUUCUGAACCUGUAUCUCUUUGUAAAUGUUACCAAGGAUGUUAAUACUGAUAAAAACCAAACCAUUCUGAAGGGUUGGUUCGUACACAUUUUUUAUUCUAUAUUAAGUAAAUCAAUUGAGGAACUGAUGUAGUUCAUGUCAAUGCACUUUUAGCAGUAUAAAUGUGAUUUAUAUCGGUAUAUGUUAAUUUAUAUCAAUAUAAGCACCUUUAUAAUGGUAUAUUUAUUUUAAAGGAACACUAGCAGGUUAAUAUAUAGUGUCCUUGCCUGUGUUCCUAACAACACCUACAGUUUAUUUAAACUCAAAGAAUUUUGAAAAAAUCUAAAUUGCUUAUCACCAUUUGUAUUGUUUGUUUGCAUUUAAUUCAGUUUAGACAUUGCAAAUCAUCUUGACCGUUUCAUUUCAUGUCUGUUUUAAGUUUCACUUUCUGAUUCUCCUAUGGUAACAACGCAGAGUGGUUGGAUUGCAGACACCUCGGGGAUGUUUCAAUUCAAACAAACCAUGUUUACAUUUAAAACAAAACUAGGUUAGAUUUAAAAAAAAAAAAGAGGGAAAAAAAGAAAAACAAACCUAUAUUUACAUUUUUGCUCUAAACUACCAGACAGUGUCACCUUUUGAAAACAUUCUGCUGUCAGUUACAGGUUGGUACACUGUAUGCUUGUGUAUAGAUAUGAAACUACUAUCAUCUGUGUUACAAGGACACUACUAAAUUACAGGCAGCUGGCUACAAAUGGCUUAACGUUCAGAAGAGCUAAGCACCCACAAAUCACGUGGAAGUCAAGUGGAGCUAUAGUAUGGUUGAGUGGAGAGGGUCCUGGAGGGAUGUGGGAGACCUGGGCUCUGCCACUGCCCUGCUGGGAGACCUUGGGAGCCUGAACUGGAUGUGAUUUGGCUGGAGGACUGAGCCACAGAAGCCCUGGUGAGAGGCAGAUGGACAUUAGGAGGCACCAGAGAUGAGAACACCUAGCAGCGUCUCACCCUGACACAAGGCGGUGCUAUGGAUGAUCCGUUUGUAUUUUCUCUGAUGCUGUGCCUCACGCAUGGAAAACCCUCCCUAAUCUGAAAGGUACUACUGCCUUAUUCCCCUCAAGAUCCACUGCCUCUAUGAUGACUACAAGAAAUCACCAAGCAGUUGGCAAGAUUGAACCACAGUUGGAGAAAUUGAUCUUUAGUAUUGCCAAGUCUUGUGGCUUAUUGGUGUUGUUUCUUGAUGUCCCAGCUCCUCGAGUCAUCACUUAUUUUCAACAAAAGCCUGUUUACAAUAAGUCUAAAUCAGAAGAUGGUUGCUUCCGGGAAGGAACAUGCUGAAGAGGCAAAAUUUUGUCAUUUUGGUCUCAUAAAUGGCCAAACAGGCACCAACAGUGUCCUAGAAAAAGAGAUGAGAAUUUGCCCCACAGAUACAGAUACAGACAGACAUCAUCUUCCUUUCCAAAUGCAAAUAGAUGGACAUCAUACCAAAAGGACUGAAGGUAAAAAAUCCAUUACAAUCUACAUACCACACAGACUAUGCUGACUGCUUAUGCCACAAACUCUCAAAGCAACUGCGGAACCACCUGAUCAACAUCCUCCACAGAAAACAGGGAAAGAUUAAGAAUGAGCUCUCAAAACU